rnacentral:lncRNA from 1 species
UAAAGCUGUAGAUGGAAGGUUUCUGGGAGAAGCGGAAGAAAGAGUGUGACCCCUCCUCGGUUCUUUUAGAGGAAGACAUGAACUCACCUAUACAGAAGCUGCCUUCCAUGUCAGGAUGUCCUGCUGUCCACAUGGAGACUGGAGGCCACGUGGCAGAAAACUGAUGUGUCCCAGCUGAGAGACAAGACCAACUGCCAGAUGUUGGAAUGAAGUCCCCUUCAUGUCAUAGCCCAAACUGAACUCUCAACUAAAUGCAGCAAUCAGAUUCUGUGUGAAUUCAGAUCACUAAGUCAGCCAGAGCUUAAAACUACUAAAUGAGAAUGAUCUAGGAAAAGAAGAGAAGAGAAGAGAAGAGAAGAGAAGAGAAGAGAAGAGAAGAGAAGAGAAGAGAAGA